GCGUAGGGAUGUCAUUAGCUGUUGGGCACUUGAUUGCUUAGUAGCGUAGCUAACGCGUGAAAUUGACCGCCUGGGGAGUACGGUCGCAAGAUUAAAACUCAAAGGAAUUGACGGGGACCCGCACAAGCGGUGGAUGAUGUGGAUUAAUUCGAUGCAACGCGAAGAACCUUACCUGGUCUUGACAUGUACGGAAUCCUCCAGAGACGGAGGAGUGCCUUCGGGAGCCGUAACACAGGUGCUGCAUGGCUGUCGUCAGCUCGUGUCGUGAGAUGUUGGGUUAAGUCCCGCAACGAGCGCAACCCUUGUCAUUAGUUGCCAUCAUUUAGUUGGGCACUCUAAUGAGACUGCCGGUGACAAGCCGGAGGAAGGUGGGGAUGACGUCAAGUCCUCAUGGCCCUUAUGACCAGGGCUUCACACGUCAUACAAUGGUCGGUACAGAGGGUAGCCAAGCCGCGAGGUGGAGCCAAUCUCACAAAACCGAUCGUAGUCCGGAUUGCACUCUGCAACUCGAGUGCAUGAAGUCGGAAUCGCUAGUAAUCGCAGGUCAGCAUACUGCGGUGAAUACGUUCCCGGGUCUUGUACACACCGCCCGUCACACCAUGGGAGUGGGGGAUACCAGAAGUAGAUAGGGUAACCGUAAGGAGCCCGUUUACCACGGUAUGCUUCAUGACUGGGGUGAAGUCGUAACAAGGGUAGCCGUAACCCC
rnacentral:rRNA from 1 species